rnacentral:rRNA from 1 species
AUUGAACGCUGGCGGCAUGAUUUACACAUGCAAGUCGAACGGUAACAGGCCGCUAGGUGCUGACGAGUGGCGAACGGGUGAGUAAUGCAUCGGAACGUGCCCAGUCGUGGGGGAUAACUACUCGACAGAGUAGCUAAUACCGCAUACGAUCUAUGGUUGAAAGCGGGGGACCGUAAGGCCUCGCGCGAUUGGAGCGGCCGAUGUCAGAUUAGGUAGUUGUUGGGGUAAAGGCUCACCAAGCCAACGAUCUGUAGCUGGUCUGAGAGGACGACCAGCCACACUGGGACUGAGACACGGCCCAGACUCCUACGGGAGGCAGCAGUGGGGAAUUUUGGACAAUGGGCGCAAGCCUGAUCCAGCAAUGCCGCGUGCAGGAAGAAGGCCUUCGGGUUGUAAACUGCUUUUGUACGGAACGAAACGGCUCUGGUUAAUACCCGGAGCUAAUGACGGUACCGUAAGAAUAAGCACCGGCUAACUACGUG